GAUGAACGCUGGCGGCGUGCUUAACACAUGCAAGUCGAGCGAGAAAAGUUCUUCGGAGCUUUUCUAGCGGCGGACGGGUGAGUAACACGUGGGCAACCUGCCUCAUAGAGGGGAAUAGCCUUCCGAAAGGAAGAUUAAUACCGCAUAACAUUGUUGAAGGGCAUCUUUUAACAAUCAAAGGAGCAAUCCGCUAUGAGAUGGGCCCGCGGCGCAUUAGCUAGUUGGUGAGGUAACGGCUCACCAAGGCGACGAUGCGUAGCCGACCUGGGAGGGUGAUCGGCCACAUUGGAACUGCGAACCGGUCCAGACUCCUACGGGAGGCAGCAGUGGGGAAUAUUGCACAAUGGGGAAAACCCUGAUGAAGCAACGCCGCGUGAGUGAUGAAGGUCUUCGGAUUGUAAAGCUCAGUCUUUAGGGACGAUAAUGACGGUACCUAAGGAGGAAGCCACGGCUAACUACGUGCCAGCAGCCGCCGUAAAAC
rnacentral:rRNA from 1 species